GUCUAUGGCCACACCACUGUGAACAUGUUUGAUCUCAUCUGAUCUUGGAAAUUGAGCAGGGUUAGGCCUGGUUAGUACUUGGACUGGAGAAAGCCCAGAAACAGACC
rnacentral:rRNA from 1 species